AGGUAAUCAAUCUCUUACAAAGCUGCACUUGUUAUUCAAUAUUUUUCAUUUUGAACUGCAUGGAUUGGGGAAUGAUUUCAGGAGCUUUUGUCUGUUUCUUUCA